NNNNNNNNNNNNNNNNNNNNNNNNNNNNNNNNNNNNNNNNNNNNNNNNCCAAAGCCCCCCUUUUUAGGGUGCUGGUGCCAAAAGGCCCUGAGAGUAGAGAACGUGGAAUGUUAGGGCUAGAAGGGCCCUUAGAACAGGGGUGGCAGAGCUGGGAGGGAACUUAGAGCAGGGAGGAAUCUUAGAAUGGGGGAAGUCAGAGCUAGGAAGGAACUGUGAAUGGGGAAUGUCAAGGCUGGGAGGGAGCUUAGACCAAGAAUGUCAUUGCUGGGAGGGAGCUUAGAACAGGGAAGAAGCUUAGAACAGAAAGCAUCAGAGCUGAGAGGGAGCUUAGAACAGGGAAGACUCUUAGACCAUGGCAUAUCCGAGCUGGGAGGAGCCUUAGAAAAAGGAAUGUCAAGGCUGGAAGGGAGCUUAGAACAGGGAAGACUCUUAGACCAUGGCAUAUCCGAGCUGGGAGGAGCCUUAGAAAAAGGAAUGUCAAGGCUGGAAGGGAGCUUAGAACAGGGAAGACUCUUAGACCAUGGCAUAUCCGAGCUGGGAGGAGCCUUAGAAAAAGGAAUGUCAAGGCUGGAAGGGAGCUUAGAACAGGGAAGAAGCUUAGAACAGAAAGCAUCAGAGCUGAGAGGGAGCUUAGAACAGGGAAGACUCUUAGACCAUGGCAUAUCCGAGCUGGGAGGAGCCUUAGAAAAAGGAAUGUCAAGGCUGGAAGGGAGCUUAGAACAGGGAAGAAGCUUAGAACAGAAAGCAUCAGAGCUGAGAGGGAGCUUAGAACAGGGAAGACUCUUAGACCAUGGCAUAUCCGAGCUGGGAGGAGCCUUAGAAAAAGAAAUGUCAAGGCUGGAAGGGAGCUUAGAACAGGGAAGAAGCUUAGAACAGAAAGCAUCAGAGCUGAGAGGGAGCUUAGAACAGGGAAGACUCUUAGACCAUGGCAUAUCCGAGCUGGGAGGAGCCUUAGAAAAAGGAAUGUCAAGGCUGGAAGGGAGCUUAGAACAGAAAGCAUCAGAGCUGAGAGGGAGCUUAGAACAGGGAAGACUCUUAGACCAUGGCAUAUCCAAGCUGAGAAGAGCCUUAGGAAAAGGAAUGUCAAGGCUGGAAGGGAGCUUAGAACAGGGAAGAAGCUUAGAACAGAAAGCAUCAGAGCUGAGAGGGAGCUUAGAACAGGGAAGACUCUUAGACCAUGGCAUAUCCAAGCUGGGAAGAGCCUUAGAAAAAGGAAUGUCAAGGCUGGGAGGGAGUCUAGUACAGGGAAGACUCAGACCAUGGCAUCUCAGAGCUGGGAGGAGCCUUAGAACAAGGAAUGUUAAGGCUGGAAGGGAGCUUAGAACAGGGAAGACUCUUGGGCCAUGGCAUAUCAGAGCUGGGAGGAGCCUUAGAACAAGGAAUAUUAAGGCUGGGAGGGAGCUUAGAACAGGGAAGAACCUUAGAACAGAAAGUAUCAGAGCUGGGAGGAAAUUGAGGACAGCAAAUGUCGGAGCUCGGAGGGGCCUUAGAAAAUCAACCCUGGAUUAUCAGAGUGGAAGGAGCUCUCCCCAUUUAAUUAGUGGGCCCUUCUGUGGCCCCUACAUCCACCAGGCCUCUGGGCUGGGGCUACAAAGACAGAGAAAAACCAUUUCCACUCCCCAAGCUUCCAUACUAUCUGGGCAGAUAACAUGGACACAAAAAAUAUGCAAAUAAUUCCAAGGCAGAUAACAAUAACAAUAAUAAUAAUACCUGGGCAGUUUGGUGACACAUAGACAGGGUGCUGGACCUGGUAUCUUAGGAAGACCUGAAUUCUGAUGUGGUUUCAGACACUUUACGAGCUGUGUAACCUGAGCAAUUCAUUUAUUUGCCUCAGUUUCCUCAGCUGUAAAGUGGGGAUAAUAAAAGGCCGGUGUUGUUGUGAGGAUCAAUUGUUGCACAGGGUUUUGUGCUCUGUCAAUGUGCGCUCUAACAGUAUCUAAUAACACUUACUAUGUGCCAGGCACCGUGCGAAGCACUUUACAAUGAUUAUUUCAUCUGACCUUUGCACAACCCUGUGGGGUGCGGCCAUUGCAGUCACGUCUGACUCUUUGGGACCCCAUUUGGAGUUUUCUUGGCAGAGAUCCUGGACUGGUUUGCCAUUUCCUCCUCCAGUUCAUUUUACAGAUGAGGAAACUGAGGCCAACAGGAUUAGAUGAUUGCCCAGAUUCACACAGCUAGUUGU
rnacentral:lncRNA from 1 species